UACAAGUCAAGUCACGCUGGCCAUGCGAACUCCACCACGUGGGCGGUGUGACCUCCGCUGUUGGCCGCACGGUGAUAGAGAAAGUGGAUGGAUGAAGGCAAGGAGAGAUGGGGGACAUCGCAUGGGCAUGUGGGGAAGAUGUCCACUUGACUUGCAAUGUAUGAAGAAGAGAGAAGUGGGAGAUACGGCAACCUUGACUGCCUAUGUAAAUCAAAUGUCCACCACGUACAGAUACGGUGGCUUGCGAAAAAUGGUGGGUGAGAUCCGGUGAGCACACAUCUCUUCCAGGUAACGGUGGUCCUCUCUCUAUACAUCUCUACUAGCUCCUCUCACUCUCUCAUUCUCCUAGGGCGAAUGGCAGUCCGACCGACUGCAGCAGGUGCUGCUCCCACCAGCUGUGAAUCGAUGUGGUAGCGAGCGAGCAGCGUCAAUGGCAUCCGGAUCUAUGGAGGAUGCGGCUGUGGGGCUCAAAUCACCGAGCAGUGGUGAUGGCACCUGAAUCCGGCCAUCAAGGUUGUGGAUCUAGCCCGUAGCGAUGUGGCGAUGACGGACACAAAGCACGGUGGCGGGCUCGAUUGGUCUAGCUCUGUUUUUUAUUUAUUUUUUAAAAUUGAUUAACGGAGACUAGUUUUUUAAGAUCCCUGUCUUCGUUAAUCGAUUAACAGAGAUGGGCAAAGUAACCACCUCCAUUGAUCUUCAUUAACAGUGACCCUUUGAUUAGAGGCGGUUGCAAUGCCCACCUCCAUUAAUCAAUUAUGUCCACUGCAUUAAGUUUUGUGUAGUAGUGUCAAUGCAUUUUGUGAGACGGACAAUUUUGACCGCCUUCAUAAAUGAAAUGCCCGCUUCCAAAAA
rnacentral:lncRNA from 1 species